CAGCUCCGCAACGCUGGGUAGGGACGGAGGUGACGGAACUGAAGAGGUGCGAGAGGAGGGGCUGUUCCUGCGGCAUAGAGGCGGGCCUGAGGUUCGGCGACGCCGCUCGGGGUGCCCAGCUUCAGGCCCGGAAGAGGGACCGCCGUGUCCGCGUCCGGCCGCCUCUCCCGCCGCUACCGGCCCCGCCCCGCUCACAGAGCCCGAUGGCUGCGGCGGCGCUGAGGGACCCGCCUGAGACAGGGCAGUGUGACUUUUGAAGAUGUGGCCGUGAACUUUUCCUUGGAGGAAUGGGGUCUCCCUGAUGAAGCUCAGAGAUGCCUGUACCAUGAUGUGAUGCUGGAGAACUUGGCACUUACAACCUCCCUGGGUUUUCAAACCAACUGUGUGAAUGCUUGGAGGCCUGCCAGGUGGUCUACAGGUGUUAGACUAUUUUGGCUUUGGCCCAUGGUGCCCAAUGGUGUCUCCAGGGACCAUUAUCUGCAUUUCAUCAGCAAGAAAGGAGAGUUGCUGUUGUUCCUCAUCCUCCAGUGAUGGGUAUCGUCAUUUCGGGAGGUUAGCAGGACUCAGAGGUUUUCAAACCAACUGCGUGAAUGCUUGGAGGCCUGCCAGGUGGUCUGCAGGUGUUAGACUAUUUUGGCUUUGGCCCAUGGUGCCCAGUAGUGUCUCCAGGGACCAUUAUCUGCAUUUCGUCAGCAAGAAAGGAGAGUUGCUGUUGUUCCUCAUCCUCCAGUGAUGGGUAUCGUCAUUUCGGGAGGUUAGCAGGACUCAGAGAUUUAAAAGCUAAAAGCUUAUAUAAAAGGAAGAAUGCCGAAGAGAAGCUAGAAAAAGAGGUGUCACAAUGUAUGACAAAGGCACUAUUAAAAAAUCAAUAUGGGGACUUCCCUGGUGGCAGAGUGGUUAAGAAUCCGCCUGCCAAUGCAGGGGACA